GACGAACGCUGGCGGCGUGCUUAACACAUGCAAGUCGAACGAAGUGGCGAACGGGUGAGUAAUACGUGAGUAACCUGCCCUCCUUUUUGGGAUAAGCCUUGGAAACGGGGUCUAAUACCGAAUAAAGGGGGAUGGGCUCGCGGCCUAUCAGCGUGUUGGUGGGGUGAUGGCCUACCAAGGAGGUGACGGGUAGCCGGCCUGAGAGGGUGACCGGCCACAGUGAGACGGGGAUGCGGCCCAGGCUAGUACGGGAGGGGGCAGUGGGGGAUAUGGCACAAAGAGUGAAAGCCUGAUGCAGCGACGGCGCGUGGGGGAUGAGGGCUUUCGGGUUGUAGACCUCUUUCGGUAUCGACCGGGUGGGUGGAGAGGAAGCGCCGGCUAACUACGUGCCAGCCGCCGCGGUAAUUC
rnacentral:rRNA from 1 species